GUGUCAGCAGCCGCGGUAAUACGUAGGGGGCAAGCGUUGUCCGGAAUUAUUGGGCGUAAAGCGCGCGCAGGCGGCCUUGUAAGUCUGUCGUUUAAACUCGGAGCUCAACUUCGAGUCGCGAUGGAAACUGCAAAGCUUGAGUGCAGAAGAGGAAAGUGGAAUUCCACGUGUAGCGGUGAAAUGCGUAGAGAUGUGGAGGAACACCAGUGGCGAAGGCGACUUUCUGGGCUGUAACUGACGCUGAGGCGCGAAAGCGUGGGGAGCAAACAGGAUUAGAAACCCUGGUAGUCC
rnacentral:rRNA from 1 species